GAGAUAGAAAUAAUAGUAAUGAUAAUUAUAAAUAUAUGCAUAUAUAUUUACAAAACAAAUUAUGCACAAUGCAAUAGCUCACCACCUACUGACUAGCCAGUCUCCAAGCAGUGGCUGCCCUCCUUGACCAACUCCCCCCUCAGUUUUAUAGUUUUUUCCACAUGAUGUCAUAUGAUAUGUUCAGUUUGUUCAGUUUAGGUCAGCUUUCCUGGUUCUGUCCUCUCCGAGCUCCCUGAGCCCCCAGACCCCCUAACUGGCAAGACAGCAUAAAGACCUGAGAAAUUAGAAUGUUCUUGGUUCUGUAUAGCACUGCUCAGCAAAACUAAAACAUUGGUGUGUUAUCAACACUGUUUUUCCCCUAAAGCCUAAACUUAGCAUCACACCAGAUGCUGUGAAGAAUAUCAACUCUGUCCCAGCCGAAACCAGACCACCUAUAUUUAAUAAUCAUGGCCUUGUGUUUUUCUGAAUUUAGGUACAUUUUGGGUGGAGUUUUCUUUUGUUUUCUUUUUUCCUUUCCUUUCCACUUUUGUUUGAAGGAUUCUCCUUAUGAGAAAUUGAAUAUCUUAAAACGUUCAAAACGUUUACCAAAAGGAGAAAUCAAUAUUUGGCAAAGUUAGAUGUGAGAAGACCACACAUUUUCUCAGAAAUUUAUACCUAAAAGAGCUCCAUUCUGAGAAAGACACAUUUCUAAGUAUUUCAGUCUGAAAGUACCCUCUUCAGAAAAGCUCUCUUGAUUGAACACCAUCUUCUACUCAACUUAUCAAGACUCUCAGCUUCAUUGAGAGACUCUCACUUGCACUCUCUAUCCUUCCACUGUGCUCUCAGUCAUACCCAGGCCAUCUGUGAGGAAGUGUCACAGCUGUCCCUCAGACCUGUGUUGUCUCUGCUGUGUUCGUGCUGCCCAGCCUGUGGGGUCCUUGCACUCGUUCUUCCCCAGCUCCUGCCUUACCAAUGAAUGGGCUGAUUCAAUGAAGGGGCUUGGAGCAUAUGAAUACAUUGCCUCCAGGAUCCGAACUCUGUCAGUCCAAGGUCAGAGAAGGCCACCUCAGCACCCAUCUCUCUCACAGGGCUGCUCCAGCAAAUCCUAUGCUCAGAGCACUGCUAGAGGCUAAUAGUCCAACAUCACCAUCAGAAGCUUGCCAGCAGUUUCCAGGAGCAUCACAGGAUGCCCAGAGAUACCCAACAGCAAAGGCUGUGGUUUCUUUCUCUUGUUUGUAUCCCUCCCCCUCUUGUACUAAGAAGCUGGUGGGGGUGCAUGCACAGACAGUCACACAUGACACAGUAAUUCAGAGAAUAUGCCAAAUAAAGCAACCACUUUGGUUGAGUGAUGUUCAAACCAAGACAAAGAGCAUCAUCAGGGACAGAGGACAGGGAGAGUUCAAAUAUCUUAGUGUACUUGAAUGAUUAUCCAGGUAACAUUUCUAGCUGCUUGACAAAUUUUGAUUCUUUUUUAUAAGUAGGACUUAUGUUUGAAUCAUGCAAACGCAAGAGGAAAUCUCAGAUCAUUAACUUCUACUUUUAUUUCUCUUACAUCAAUGACUGACAGCCCCAAGAUGGAGGUUUACUUUUUUUCUGCUUUUCCCUGCAGAAUCUUCCUUUGCAUCCUGAGCUUCAAAUCUUGCAUUACUGUGCCAUCUCUGAACCAUGGGCUUCCUCAAACUUCCUUUGCAUCAGGUAAGGUGUUCAGCGUGUCAGAUGGGUUAAGAUCAACUUCAUUUUUCAGUGGCUCAAAUCCACUUGUGGGAGGUCAGAAGUGAUGCAUCGAACAGAGCACAUCUGUGAUCCAGAAGUCAGAUCUGUCUGCACCCCCCACGUUUAAGCAGGAAGAGCAGUGGAACAGUCAUGCAAUGGUGUGAGUGCCUGGGCAGAUGUUAAGAUCUCUGGCCAGCCCCUGUGCUGCAGCCUGCAUGGACGCUCCUGAACUUUGCUCUCCUGCUGGUUCUGGCUCGUGGACUGAGAUGGAAUAGAUAAAGUGCUGGAUUCACUUUGCUCUGACGCAGCUGGGAGCUGUACUUUACUGAUAAUGACUGCCCAUCUCCAUUCCACUCACAGGCUGCAUUAAGAUCUUUUGCCUUCUUUUGAGGGGCAAGGUUUAUUGCAAAAUCUCCAAUUACUUUAAAAUGACAAGCUUCAAGAGAUGCAUUGCAGACUGACUUUUUUAGGUCUCCAGCAAAUGUUAUCAGUAACACAUAAUGCAGUGGAUGAAAAAUCCACAGUGGUGCAGAUAUGAACAGCAGCUGCACAUAUUUAACGAAUGUAGACCACAUUUACAGCAUCAAACAUACCAGUAUUAAACAUGG